rnacentral:rRNA from 1 species
UACGAAGGGGGCUAGCGUUGCUCGGAAUCACUGGGCGUAAAGGGUGCGUAGGCGGGUCUUUAAGUCAGGGGUGAAAUCCUGGAGCUCAACUCCAGAACUGCCUUUGAUACUGAGGAUCUUGAGUUCGGGAGAGGUGAGUGGAACUGCGAGUGUAGAGGUGAAAUUCGUAGAUAUUCGCAAGAACACCAGUGGCGAAGGCGGCUGCCUGGACCUCUGCUGACGCUGAGGCGCGAAAGCGUGGGGAGCGAUCCGG